GAGCGAACGCUGGCGGCAGGCUUAACACAUGCAAGUCGAGCGGGCGUAGCAAUACGUCAGCGGCAGACGGGUGAGUAACGCGUGGGAACGUACCUUUUGGUUCGGAACAACACAGGGAAACUUGUGCUAAUACCGGAUAAGCCCUUACGGGGAAAGAUUUAUCGCCGAAAGAUCGGCCCGCGUCUGAUUAGCUAGUUGGUGAGGUAACGGCUCACCAAGGCGACGAUCAGUAGCUGGUCUGAGAGGAUGAUCAGCCACAUUGGGACUGAGACACGGCCCAAACUCCUACGGGAGGCAGCAGUGGGGAAUAUUGGACAAUGGGCGCAAGCCUGAUCCAGCCAUGCCGCGUGAGUGAUGAAGGCCCUAGGGUUGUAAAGCUCUUUUGUGCGGGAAGAUAAUGACGG
rnacentral:rRNA from 1 species